rnacentral:rRNA from 1 species
CAGCAGUCGCCGCGGUAGUACGGAGGGUGCAAGCGUUAAUCGGAAUUACUGGGCGUAAAGCGCACGCAGGCGGUCUGACAAGUCAGAUGUGAAAUCCCCGGGCUUAACCUGGGAACUGCAUUUGAAACUGUCAGGCUGGAGUCUUGUAGAGGGGGGUAGAAUUCCAGGUGUAGCGGUGAAAUGCGUAGAGAUCUGGAGGAAUACCGGUGGCGAAGGCGGCCCCCUGGACAAAGACUGACGCUCAGGUGCGAAAGCGUGGGGAGCAAGCAGGAUUAGAUACCCCUGUAGUCCCUGUCUCUUAUAC